GAGCCACCUUGCGGGGCCGGCUGGGCCGAGCCACCUUGCGGGGCCGGCUGGGCUGAGCCACUAUGCAAUUUUAUACAGUACCAGUCAAAAGUUUGGACACCUACUCAAAGGGUUUUUCUUUAUUUUUACUAUUUUCUACAUUGUAGAAUAAUAGAAUACAUCAAAACUGUGUGUGUGUGUGGAGUCGUAUAGUAAUCAAAAAUAUGUUAAACAAAUGAAAAUAUGUUUUUAAGAUUCUUCAAAGUAGCCACCUUUGCUUUGAUGACAGCUUUGCAUUCUUGCAACUGACUUCAUGAGGUAGUCACCUGAAAUGCUUUUCCAACAGUCUUGAAGGAGUUCCCACAUAUGCUGAGCAUUUGUUGGUUGCUUUUCCUUCACUCUGCAGUCCAACUCAUCCUAAACCAUCUCAAUUGGGUUGAGGUCAGGUGAUCUGGGUCAUUGUCCUGUUAAAAACAAAUGAUAGUCCCACUAAGCCAAACCAGAUGGGACGUUGUAUCGCUGCAGAAUGCUGUGGUAGCCAUGCUGGUUAAGUGUGCCUUUCAUUCAAAUAAAUCACAGUGUCACCAGCAAAGCACCUCCACACCAUCACACCAUAACACCUCCUCCAUGCUUCACGGUGGGAACUAGACAUGUGGAGAUCAUCCGUUCACCUACUCUGCAUCUCACAAAGACAUGGCGGUUGGAACCAAAAAUAAAAAAUAUGGACCCAUCAGACCAAAGGACAGAUUUCCACUGGUCUAAUGUCCAUUGCUCGUGUUUCUUGGCCCAAGCAAGUCUCUUCUUCUUAUUGGUGUCCUUUAGUAGUGGUUUCUUUGCAGCAAUUCAACCAUGACGGUCUGAUUCACGCAGUCUCCUCUGAACAGUUGAUGUUGAGAUGUCUGUUACUUGAACUCUGAAGCAUUUAUUUGAGCUGCAAUUUCUGAGGCUGAACUUAACCUCAGUAGUAAAGGUAACUCUGGGUCUUCCUUUCCUGUGGCGGUCCUCAUGAGAGACAGUUUCAUCAUAGUGCUUGAUGGUUUUUGCGACUGCACUUGAAGUUCAAAGUUCUUAAUUUUCCAGAUUGACUGACCUUCAUGUCUUAAAGUCAAGAUGGACUGUCGUUUCUCUUUGCUAAUUUGAGCUGUUCUUGCCAUAACAUGGACUUAGCCCUAUUUGGUAAAAUACCAUCUUCUGUAUACCACCACUACCAUGUCACAACACAACUGAUUGGCUCAAACACAUUAAGUGGGAAAGAAAUUCCAUAAAUGAACGUUUAACAAUGCACACCUGUUAAUUGAAAUGCAUUCCAGGUGACUAACACAUGAAGCUGGUUGAGAGAAUACCAAGAGUGUGCAAAGCUGUUAUCAAGGAAAAGGUUGUCUUGAAGAAUCUCGUAAAAUAUUUUGAUUUGUUUAACACUUUUGGUUACAUGAUUUCAUAGUGAAGACAUCAAAACUAUUCUACAAUAUAGAAAAUAGUAAAAAUAAAGAAAAACCCUGGAAUGAGUAAGUGUCCAAGCUUUUGACAGGUAGUUUGUGUAUGUAUGUGAGAAACUUUAUUUGUUAUCAUUUAUGGCAAUGUUUUGCUCUAGAUUGCAGGAAAUGGCAGUUACAGGUGUUAAAAAAUACAACUAUCCCGGAGUCCAAAACCCUGGUGGAGAACCCUGAAAUAAGGUUUUGUGUUAUUGAUUUUUAUAAUAUAUACGAUUGGUAGGUCGUAAUAUGGAAGGUAAUAUGUUGCUAGAUUGUGUAAUGAACACGAUGGGAGACAGAGCUGGUUUAAAGAGCAGGGCGCAGGUGUUUAUUGGAGGAGGCAGGUAGCUGGGUCCAGGGGCAGGCAGAAGGUCAUACACAGGAGGAGGCAGGUAGCUGGGUCCAGGGGCAGGCAGAAGGUCAUACACAGGAGGAGGCAGGUAGCUGGGUCCAGGGGCAGGCAGAAGGUCAUACACAGGAGGAGGCAGGUAGCUGGGUCCAGGGGCAGGCAGAAGGUCAUACACAGG
ensembl:lncRNA